CCUACGGGAGGCAGCAGUGAGGAAUAUUGGUCAAUGGACGAGAGUCUGAACCAGCCAAGUAGCGUGAAGGAUGACUGCCCUAUGGGUUGUAAACUUCUUUUACAUGGGAAUAAAACGUUCCACGCGUGGGACUUCGUAUGUACCAGAUGAAUAAGGAUCGGCUAACUCCGUGCCAGCAGCCGCGGUAAUACGGAGGAUCCGAGCGUUAUCCGGAUUUAUUGGGUUUAAAGGGAGCGUAGGUGGAUAGUUAAGUCAGUUGUGAAAGUUUGCGGCUCAACCGUAAAAUUGCAGUUGAAACUGGCAGUCUUGAGUACGGUAGAGGUGGGCGGAAUUCGUGGUGUAGCGGUGAAAUGCUUAGAUAUCACGAAGAACUCCGAUUGCGAAGGCAGUUCACUGGACUGCAACUGACACUGAGGCUCGAAAGUGUGGGUAUCGAACAGGAUUAGAUACCCGUGUAGUC
rnacentral:rRNA from 1 species